rnacentral:rRNA from 1 species
GACGAACGCUGGCGGCGUGCCUAAUACAUGCAUGUAGAACGCACAGUUUAUACCGUAGCUUGCUACACCAUAAACUGUGAGUUGCGAACGGGUGAGUAACGCGUAGGUAACCUGCCUGGUAGCGGGGGAUAACUAUUGGAAACGAUAGCUAAUACCGCAUAAUAUUAAUUAUUGCAUGAUAAUUGAUUGAAAGAUGCAAUUGCAUCACUACCAGAUGGACCUGCGUUGAAUUAGCUAGUAGGUGAGGUAACGGCUCACCUAGGCGACGAUACAUAGCCGACCUGAGAGGGUGAUCGGCCACACUGGGACUGAGACACGGCCCAGACUCCUACGGGAGGCAGCAGUAGGGAAUCUUCGGCAAUGGACGAAAGUCUGACCGAGCAACGCCGCGUGAGUGAAGAAGGUUUUCGGAUCGUAAAGCUCUGUUGUAAGAGAAGAACGGGUGUGAGAGUGGAAAGUUCACACUGUGACGGUAUCUUACCAGAAAGGGACGGCUAACUACGUG